CAAUACCCUGUUCCAUCAACGGCGUGUUACUCAGAUUCUACACUGGUAUCCAACUAGCUCAUCCUAUCUGGAAUUCUUGCUCAGAAAUCCUGUUCAACCCAAGAUAGGGACGUUUUAAGGAUGGAUCAAUCAAGUUCCUGACCAGACUGAAGGCCUGAAGGAGGCUCAGAAGUAAUGGAAAGAUCAGGGCUCUGCUCUGCCUGACUGGGCAGUGCCAGACGUCGGGUUUCUACAAACUAUUAUCAGCUCCUCAUUCUCCUCAGCCCCAUGAAUCCAAAGCUUAGGACUAUGGCGGACGGGAGAGGGUUCCACCAGCCUGCUGAAGGAGGAGACUUUGUUAAUGAGGAUGUGCAUAUGCAGAAACUGUCAAGGAGCCUCCAGAACCAGAAUGAUGAUGCAAAGGGGACAGUUCCCAAAGCAGUAACUCUGACCCAGGAUGCUGGGCAUGCUGGGGUGAAGGUAUAAGGCAAGGUUCAAAGCUACAUCUGGAUCCAAGUGAAUCUGACAAUCUGGAAACCAUCAUGACUCUUAGCAUUUCCAUUCUACCAGCUAGAGUUUUUUUAGGAUCUCUCCAACCUGCCAUUGAGGUAAAUCUUGUGACUGCUUGCCUAGAGCAUGCAUUGCCUAAAGACGUUUACAGCCCAACCCAUCAGUCCAGUCCUUGAGAGCAGAGGUCCCAUUUCCUAACAGAGGUCACUACCAUUCAAUAUGUGAAUGUGCACCCCUAUCUUGGAACUGCAGGAACCAAGGAAAGGAGGGAAGACUCCUAGUUUACAUGCCUUGAUGUGGUGAGCACAUCUGAGGAAGAAAGCUGGAAGAAAGAUUCAUGCUCAGCCUCAGUGUCUGGAAUGGAUAACCUCUGAGAUUCCUUUCUCUUCAGACAUCCUAAGACACUAAGGUCCUGGGAAGGCUUCUGGCAGGUCCUAAACCAGGAGUGAGCAGCAGCUCACAAUCCCUGUAGUCUGGCUGCUUCUCGGGAAAAGUGGCCCCACUGUCUAUUCUCUCCUGUUUAUGCAGGUUUAGCACUGUGCCCUGAUUUGAGAGUUCUUGGACACUGUUUCUUGGUUGGGAUAAUAACGAUCUUGACCCCCUCAGGUCAGUGGGAGCUAAUACAAGAGUCCACCUUGUGGACAGACUACCUGUAUGACAGGCGCAGUGGCUCUAAUCCUGGUCCAUGUGGCAUUGUCCCCUUGGCUGACUGCCCUUCUCCCUCAGCUCCCGGCAUCAUCCCCAGGCCCCAUCUGAGCUGAGCACCUACCUAAAA